UACGUAGGGUGCAAGCGUUAAUCGGAAUUACUGGGCGUAAAGCGUGCGCAGGCGGUUAUGUAAGACAGAUGUGAAAUGCCCGGGCUUAACCUGGGAACUGCAUUUGUGACUGCAUGGCUAGAGUGUGUCAGAGGGGGGUAGAAUUCCACGUGUAGCAGUGAAAUGCGUAGAUAUCUGGAGGAACACCGGUGGCGAAGGCGGCAUCCUGGACCGACACUGACGCUGAGGAGCGAAAGCCAGGGGAGCAAACGGG
rnacentral:rRNA from 1 species